GGUCGCCAUUGCAGCGGUGUGGGAGCGCUUACACCUACAGGCUGCGCCGCUCUCGUAUGUCACAUAAUGUCCCAGGCCAGAGGCACAUUAGAAGCAGCAUGUGGUGAAGGGAGUUGACUGCAAAGAAGCCUAAACAGCCAGCCAAUUUUUGAUGAUACACACAGGAAUUUCACCUUUUGUUCUUUGUUUUUUUGUUUUGUUUUGUUUUGUUUUGUUUUUUUCUGAGUGUGGCUAGGCUCACAAUACUACAAUACUGACCAGAAAAAGAGAAGGUGCUGAAGUAUGGAUCUGCAUGGUCAAAUCAGUACUGGAAAAAAAAUGCUGCUGCCCUGGGGACAUUGAACAGGAGUGCAUCAAAUAAUUAUUCCAUUGCAUGAUUCAUCCAUAGAAGUGGAACUUGUCCAAGAAUGAUGUUUUAUUUGUGCAGCAGUUUUGGUAGUAGCAGUGAGUGCUGUGUGGAGUAGUAGAGUGCCUUAGAACAAGGCAACACGCAAAGGCCACACCUGGAGCAGAGGUGAUUAUUCUGUUUGUAUCACCACAGACUGACGUUUUAAAAAGUCUUCAGUGCAAGCACAUCCAACCCAUGACCCACAGAUUGCACGCGUCCCAUCCCAGCCUGUUGUGCAGCAGACCUCUGCCCUGUCCUACCAGAGAAAAGUAUCCUUUGCUUCCACAUCUUAUUCAUGUCUUUAGUUUUUGGCAGUACGUACAUUCGUGGCCAACUGUUUUCAAGGGUGUAUUACAGGAAGAGCAAAAUUAGACAAAAAAUCUUUGACGAACAGCUUGAGAACUCACUAAGAAAUGCAACCACUGCCAUCAAACCAGACUGGUGCAUUGGUUUCACAAAAAAAAGGUCAAAUAUCUCACUGCUCUUAUGUUUUUGUUGCUUACCUUUUUAAUGUUGUAAUGGAAGUACUGGAAAUUUUAAAGUUGUGUUACUUAUAUGCAUUAAAAAUAUUAGGACUGCUCAAAAAGUAAUGCCUCCUAUUUUAUUAUUUUGGUCCAGAGUAUGGGAGUUGGAUGUGGCCUGUACCUGUGGCAGGUAGCAGCAGAGGGAUCGUCUGAGAAAAUGGUGUCUGACAUAGAAGAACAUAUGAAGCAAAGGUGUCUCUUUGAGUUUAUCCAUGAGGAAAAAAUUGCACCCACUGACAUUCACUUGCUGAAUGUUUAUGGAGACCAAACAGUGAAACUGAGCGUGGUGAGGUGGUGUGUUUCAGCUGUGGUAACAGUGGGUCACCUUCACUGGUGCUGAUUUUUACAAGAGCAGCACACAGGCUCUUGUUCCUCGUGGGUGAAAAUGAAUAGUUAAUGGUGGUGGCUAUGUUGAAAAUUAAUGUUUUGUAGCCGAGAUUUGCUCUGUCAAACAGUGUUAUCGAGCUCUGUGUACCAGCUGUAAUUUCCAUGGAAAUGAGUAGGAGGCAUUACUUUUGGAGCGACCUACGCGGCCCAAGACAAUUUCUAUUCACUGAAUGUGGCCCAGGCAAGCCAAAAGGCUCGAUACCCAUGAGAUUUAGUGUCUGUUGGCCUGCUUUUACUUUUUCUUUUUUUUUUCUAAUCUGGUAUUUUAUUACAUCCUGUGGACUUCGAGUGUCUGAUCAGUUGCAAGACUAUUUUCUCUGAAUUCACUCAUCCGAAAUCACUUUAGGAAACCCUUAACGAAUGAAGUUGUAUCUAUCAUCAUUGUCACAUCAUUUGAUCUCUUGCCAGCAGAAGACCCGUUACAGUCAGUCACAAUGAAGCGUGAGUCAAAUGGAAAAAGAUGUGAGCAGACGGUGAAGUACGUGAGAGUUAGACAGUAGUGACUCUGGUCGAGGGAAAUACACUCGAAUCAGCAGAUGAUACCCAGCUCUCAGUACAAGUGACACAUUAGCUUUCCCUCGAAGUGGAGAUCAGAGGUAGCAAAGGUGGUGUGAUGCAGAGGAGGGGGAGGGAACAAAACAUUUUAAAACUGCCCUUUUUUAUUGCACAUCUUAUCAAAAUUGCAGUGUAGUUAUUAUAAAAAUUCUUUUAAGAUAUCCAUUCUUGUAUUGCUGGGUCUGGGGAGAAUUCCAGCAGCGAGAUUGCUCCCCUGUGGAGAACGACUGCCAUCUUAUGUUAAAUGCAUGCACAGCUCAGGACUUGGCCGGCUGUGUUCUACGGCAGGAAAAAAGGGGUGGAGACAGUGCAGGAAUGGUAUGUUCCAAAUGGAAACGUUUGCGAAGGCUUCCAAGAAGUUUCUGGUCUCAAUAGGGCUAGACACAUUUUCAGCAAAUGUCUCUGCUUGCUUCAGGUCUUUACUGUGAAGUAAACAAGAGCCUUCCAGGAAAUGUUCUGCAGUGUGAUAGAGACGGCAGGCUUGAACUCAACU